GGGUGCGAUCAUACCAACGUUAUUGCACUGGAUCCCAUCAGAACUCCACAGUUGGGCGCACUUGGGCUAGAGUAGUACUGGGAUGACCUUCCGGGAAGUCCUAGUGUUGCACCCU
rnacentral:rRNA from 1 species